UACAGAGGGUGCAAGCGUUGUUCGGAAUUACUGGGCGUAAAGGGCGCGUAGGCGGGCUGUCAAGUCUGGGGUGAAAUCCCGCGGCUCAACCGUGGAACUGCCUCAGAUACUGACGGUCUCGAGGGGGAUAGGGGCGAGCGGAACUGUGAGUGGAGCGGUGAAAUGCGUUGAUAUUCACAGGAACUCCGGUGGCGAAGGCGGCUCGCUGGAUCUCUUCUGACGCUGAGGCGCGAAAGCUAGGGGAGCAAACGGG
rnacentral:rRNA from 1 species